GCACACUGAAACCGUGUCAUGGGGAGCGUCUCCUCACUCAACAUCCCCAAGUCCUUCUCCUCAGGGCUGCUCCAUCCAGUCUCCCUCAACCUGUGCUUGUGCUUGGAAAAAUCAUCUGGUUCCUGCUCCCUGUCAUCCCAGAGGCACACCACCAGCACCUGUGCAGCAGCCAGGAUGGAGCACAGAAUGCCUGAAGCAGGACCCCUUUGUGCUUCCAAGGUGUGUGAGCCCUGCUGUCAGCCAGCAAGGCAGAUGUCUGGGAAGUUCCCUUCCUUUGCUGCAAAGAAUUUACAAUUCAGGAUCUUUUUCAGAACAAUCCACAAUUGCAAAUUGCCACUUUCUCCUAUUAAACAUGAGCACUUUGCAUCACACUCACGAGGUGCCCUGUUUCUUCUGCCCUGAUGCUCACUGUUAGCAAAAGGUUUCUUCCCUCCACCCUCCCUGACGUUUCUGUUCUGAUUCACCCUGCUUACAACCAAGAGAAUGAUACCAAAAGCUAUAAUUAGAAAGAAAGAGUCAAAACAUUUCACAGUAGCAGAUUCCUGGAUGCUGUGUACAAUACCUGGGGGACUUGUUGAAGCAAAAUUGUGCUUCAGCAAGCAGAGGAAAGGGGUGAAGGAUUAAAUCCAUCAGGAUGGGGCUUUCCAGCUGAAGGGAUGAGCCAUAUGGUUGGGAAUCUUGGAAUCUUCCCUCAGUUGGGCAGACGCUGAGGAGGCGAAGGAGUCUGUGCUGGGUGGCCAACAGAAAAGCAACAGACAUGGAAUAAAAUGGGAAACUGGGAGGGGAUGGCGUGGCUGCGGUCCAGGGUGGUUCUGGAAACUCAGGGAGGCUGCAGGAGCUGCCCAUCCCAGAUGGCGAGCACAGCGUGGCUGCUGCCGCUCUGAGCAUGCUUCAGCAGCUCAGCCUUGAGGAGGCUCCACGUUGUUCUCAGGCACCCAAUGAAGAGGUCAAGUGGAGCUGCUCUUCCCUCCAAGCACACAUCUCCGAAGCUGAUCCACAUGCAUUUCUUGGCUGUGUUCCUCACAUCAGAGAAUAUUCCAAAUAAGGUCUCAGUGGUGUAUGGCUCCGAAUGAAAAUAGCUUCAUCUGAUUGCAGUUUGAUAACCCCCAGAGAAAAGUCCCUUGGCCUUUGACUUCCCUUUAAUGCUGGUGACAGCCUCUGCAUAUGCUCCUGUUAGAUUGUCUCAGUUCAGCACUGUUAAAUCACAGCUCUGUCAGCUCUCAGGGUUUUAAUGUUGUUCUUGGAAUAUUUGCUUUCUGCAGUGGACCUCCUGCCUCUGGAGUCAAGUAUAAAGAUAGGCUGAGAAAGUUGGGGCUGUUCAGCCUGGAGAAGAGAAGGCUGCGUGGAGACCUCAGAGCAGCCUUCCAGUAUCUGAAGGGGGCCUAUAGGGAUGCUGGGGAGGGACUCUUCAUUAGGGACUGUAGUGACAGGACAAGGGGUAACGGGUUAAAACUGAAACAGGGGAAGUUUAGAUUGGAUAU